CCUGGUGGCUCAGAUGGUAAAGCGUCUGCCUGCAAUGCGGGAGACCCAGGUUCGAUUCCUGGGUCAGGA
rfam:Ovis aries breed Texel chromosome 2, whole genome shotgun sequence.